rnacentral:rRNA from 1 species
UACGGAGGUGGCGAGCGUUGUCCGAAGUUACUGGGCGUAAAGCGUGCGCAGGCGGUGAUGUAAGACAGGUGUGAAAUCCCCGGGCUUAACCUGGGAACUGCAUUUGUGACUGCAUCGCUGGAGUGCGGCAGAGGGGGAUGGAAUUCCGCGUGUAGCAGUGAAAUGCGUAGAUAUGCGGAGGAACACCGAUGGCGAAGGCAAUCCCCUGGGCCUGCACUGACGCUCAUGCACGAAAGCGUGGGGAGCAAACAGG